rnacentral:rRNA from 1 species
AGUGAACGCUGGCGGUAGGCCUAACACAUGCAAGUCGAACGGCAGCACAGUAAGAGCUUGCUCUUACGGGUGGCGAGUGGCGGACGGGUGAGGAAUACAUCGGAAUCUACUUUUUCGUGGGGGAUAACGUAGGGAAACUUACGCUAAUACCGCAUACGACCUACGGGUGAAAGCAGGGGAUCUUCGGACCUUGCGCGAUUGAAUGAGCCGAUGUCGGAUUAGCUAGUUGGCGGGGUAAAGGCCCACCAAGGCGACGAUCCGUAGCUGGUCUGAGAGGAUGAUCAGCCACACGGGAACUGAGACACGGUCCAGACUCCUACGGGAGGCAGCAGUGGGGAAUAUUGGACAAUGGGCGCAAGCCUGAUCCAGCCAUACCGCGUGGGUGAAGAAGGCCUUCGGGUUGUAAAGCCCUUUUGUUGGGAAAGAAAGGCAGCAGGUUAAUACCCCGCUGUUCUGACGGUACCCAAAGAAUAAGCACCGGCUAACUUCGUG